UACGAGGGGCUAGCGUUGUUCGGAAUUACUGGGCGUAAAGCGCGCGCAGGCGGUCUCCAAGUCAGUGGUGAAAGCCCGGAGCUCAACUCCGGAACUGCCAUUGAACUGUUGGACUUGAGUACGAGAGAGGUGAGUGGAAUUCCCAGUGGUAGAGGUGAAAUUCGUAGAUAUUGGGAAAGAACACCGGUGGCGAAAGGCGGCUCACGUGGGCUCGGAACUGGACGACGUCAGGCGCGGACAGCGUGGGGACUCGAAACAGGC
rnacentral:rRNA from 1 species